rnacentral:rRNA from 1 species
CUACGGGACGCUCCAGUCGAGAAUAUUGGACAAUGGGCGAAAGCCUGAUCCAGCGACGCCGCGUGCGGGAUGACAGCCUUCGGGUUGUAAACCGCUUUUAUUGGGGAAUAAUCCCGAGAGCAAUCGAGGGAUGAAGGUACCCGAUGAAUAAGGGGGUGCUAAUUCUGUGCCAGCAGCCGCGGUAAAACAGAACCCCCAAGCGUUAAUCGGAAUUACUGGGCGUAAAGCGCGCGUAGGCGGCUAGAUCAGUCGGGUGUGAAAGCCCCGGGCUUAACCUGGGAACUGCAUCCGAUACUGUCUAGCUUGAGUACAGGAGAGGAGAGUGGAAUUCCACAUGUAGCGGUGAAAUGCGUAGAUAUGUGGAGGAACACCAAUGGCGAAGGCAGCUCUCUGGCCUGAUACUGACGCUGAGGUGCGAAAGCGUGGGGAGCAAACAGGAUUAGAUACCCCAGUAGUC